ACGGGUGAGUAAUGCCUAGGAAUCUGCCUGGUAGUGGGGGAUAACGCUCGGAAACGGACGCUAAUACCGCAUACGUCCUACGGGAGAAAGCAGGGGACCUUCGGGCCUUGCGCUAUCAGAUGAGCCUAGGUCGGAUUAGCUAGUUGGUGAGGUAAUGGCUCACCAAGGCGACGAUCCGUAACUGGUCUGAGAGGAUGAUCAGUCACACUGGAACUGAGACACGGUCCAGACUCCUACGGGAGGCAGCAGUGGGGAAUAUUGGACAAUGGGCGAAAGCCUGAUCCAGCCAUGCCGCGUGUGUGAAGAAGGUCUUCGGAUUGUAAAGCACUUUAAGUUGGGAGGAAGGGUUGUAACCUAAUACGUUGCAAUCUUGACGUUACCGACAGAAUAAGCACCGGCUAACUCUGUGCCAGCAGCCGCGGUAAUACAGAGGGUGCAAGCGUUAAUCGGAAUUACUGGGCGUAAAGCGCGCGUAGGUGGUUCGUUAAGUUGGAUGUGAAAUCCCCGGGCUCAACCUGGGAACUGCAUUCAAAACUGACGAGCUAGAGUAUGGUAGAGGGUGGUGGAAUUUCCUGUGUAGCGGUG
rnacentral:rRNA from 1 species